GGCGAACGCUGGCGGCAGGCCUAACACAUGCGAGUCGAACGAACUCUUCGGAGUUAGUGGCGGACGGGUGAGGAGCACGUGGGAACGUGCCUUUAGGUUCGGAAGAAAUCAGGGAAACUUGUGCUAAUACCGAAUGUGCCCUUCGGGGGAAAGAUUGAUCGGCUUUAGAGCGGCCCGCGGCUGAUUAGCUAGUUGGUGAGGUAAAGGCUCACCAAGGCGACGAUCAGUAGCUGGUUUGAGAGGAUGAUCAGCCACAUUGGGAAUGAGACACGGACCAAACUUCUACGGGAGGCAGCAGUGGGGAAUCUUGAGCAAUGGGCGAAAGCCUGACGCAGCCAUGCCGCGUGAAUGAUGAAGGUCUUAGGAUUGUAAAAUUCUUUCACCGGGGACGAUAAUGACGGUACCCGGAGAAGAAGCCCCGGCUAACUUCGUGCCAGCCGCCGCAGUAA
rnacentral:rRNA from 1 species